rnacentral:tRNA from 1 species
GCGGGAGUGGCGCAAUGGUAGCGCGCAACCUUCCCAAGGUUGAUGCUGCGGGUUCAAAUCCCGUCUCCCGCUCCA